GCAGUCGAGCGACAGACCAGGAGCUUGCUCCUUUGACGUUAGCGGCGGACGGGUGAGUAACACGUGGGUAACCUACCUAUAAGACUGGGAUAACUUCGGGAAACCGGAGCUAAUACCGGAUAAUAUUUCGAACCGCAUGGUUCGAUAGUGAAAGAUGGUUUUGCUAUCACUUAUAGAUGGACCCGCGCCGUAUUAGCUAGUUGGUAAGGUAACGGCUUACCAAGGCGACGAUACGUAGCCGACCUGAGAGGGUGAUCGGCCACACUGGAACUGAGACACGGUCCAGACUCCUACGGGAGGCAGCAGUAGGGAAUCUUCCGCAAUGGGCGAAAGCCUGACGGAGCAACGCCGCGUGAGUGAUGAAGGUCUUCGGAUCGUAAAACUCUGUUAUUAGGGAAGAACAUACGUGUAAGUAACUAUGCACGUCUUGACGGUACCUAAUCAGAAAGCCACGGCUAACUACGUGCCAGCAGCCGCGGUAAUACGUAGGUGGCAAGCGUUAUCCGGAAUUAUUGGGCGUAAAGCGCGCGUAGGCGGUUUUUUAAGUCUGAUGUGAAAGCCCACGGCUCAACCGUGGAGGGUCAUUGGAAACUGUAAAACUUGAGUGCAGAAGAGGAAAGUGGAAUUCCAUGUGUAGCGGUGAAAUGCGCAGAGAUAUGGAGGAACACCAGUGGCGAAGGCGACUUUCUGGUCUGUAACUGACGCUGAUGUGCGAAAGCGUGGGGAUCAACAGGAUUAGAUACCCUGGUAGUCCACGCCGUA
rnacentral:rRNA from 1 species